rnacentral:piRNA from 1 species
UGGAUAUAUGCAUAUGCCUGUGAUGCC